rnacentral:rRNA from 1 species
CGUCCGGAACGGGCGCUAAUACCGCAUACGUCCUGAGGGAGAAAGUGGGGGAUCUUCGGACCUCACGCUAUCAGAUGAGCCUAGGUCGGAUUAGCUAGUUGGUGGGGUAAAGGCCUACCAAGGCGACGAUCCGUAACUGGUCUGAGAGGAUGAUCAGUCACACUGGAACUGAGACACGGUCCAGACUCCUACGGGAGGCAGCAGUGGGGAAUAUUGGACAAUGGGCGAAAGCCUGAUCCAGCCAUGCCGCGUGUGUGAAGAAGGUCUUCGGAUUGUAAAGCACUUUAAGUUGGGAGGAAGGGCAGUAAGUUAAUACCUUGCUGUUUUGACGUUACCAACAGAAUAAGCACCGGCUAACUUCGUGCCAGCAGCCGCGGUAAUACGAAGGGUGCAAGCGUUAAUCGGAAUUACUGGGCGUAAAGCGCGCGUAGGUGGUUCAGCAAGUUGGAUGUGAAAUCCCCGGGCUCAACCUGGGAACUGCAUCCAAAACUACUGAGCUAGAGUACGGUAGAGGGUGGUGGAAUUUCCUGUGUAGCGGUGAAAUGCGUAGAUAUAGGAAGGAACACCAGU